CACCAGCGUGAAGCUGGCUCUUGGUGCUCCUUCACUGAAAAUGCCAUUUGCCAUUGAUGAUCGCUCUUCCCUUCCUCUGGGAGGAUG
ensembl:snoRNA U3 Small nucleolar RNA U3